rnacentral:rRNA from 3 species
GGGUUGUGAGGUUAAGCGACUAAGCGUACACGGUGGAUGCCCUGGCAGUCAGAGGCGAUGAAGGGCGUGCUAAUCUGCGAUAAGCGCCGGUAAGGUGAUAUGAACCGUUAUAACCGGCGAUACCCGAAUGGGGAAACCCAGUGUGAUUCGUCACACUAUCAUUAACUGAAUCCAUAGGUUAAUGAGGCGAACCGGGGGAACUGAAACAUCUAAGUACCCCGAGGAAAAGAAAUCAACCGAGAUUCCCCCAGUAGCGGCGAGCGAACGGGGAGGAGCCCAGAGCCUGAAUCAGCAUGUGUGUUAGUGGAAGCGUCUGGAAAGGCG